rnacentral:rRNA from 1 species
AGAACGAACGCUGGCGGCGUGGAUAAGACAUGCAAGUCGAACGGAAUAUCCUUUGUAGCAAUACAACGGAUGUUCAGUGGCGUAAGGGUGCGUAACACGUGGGCAAUCUACCGAGAAGUGGGGGAUAGUUCGCCGAAAGGCGAAUUAAUACCGCAUGUGGUUAGCGAAGACAUCUUCGCGACACUAAAGCCGGGGACCAUAGCAAUAUGGCCUGGCGCUUCUUGAUGACGCCCGCGGCCUAUCAGCUUGUGGCGGGGUAACGCCCACCAAGGCUAU